UACAGAGGUCUCAAGCGUUGUUCGGAUUCAUUGGGCGUAAAGGGUGCGUAGGUGGCGCCAUAAGUCGGGUGUGAAAUCUCGGGGCUUAACUCCGAAACUGCAUUUGAUACUGUGGUGCUUGAGGACUGGAGAGGAGACUGGAAUUCACGGUGUAGCAGUGAAAUGCGUAGAUAUCGUGAGGAAGACCAGUGGCGAAGGCGGGUCUCUGGACAGUUCCUGACACUGAGGCACGAAGGCCAGGGGAGCAAACGGG
rnacentral:rRNA from 1 species